ensembl:snRNA U6 U6 spliceosomal RNA
UUGUGUUCACUUCAGCAGCAAAUAUACUAAAUUUGGAAUGAUACAGAAGAAGAUUAGCAUGGUCCAUGUGCAAAGAUGACACACAAAUUUGUAAAGUGUUCCAUAUUUCU